CUGCAUCGUGAUGGGGAUAGAUUAUUGCAAUUAUUAAUCUUCAACGAGGAAUGCCUAGUAAGCGCGAGUCAUCAGCUCGCGUUGAUUACGUCCCUGCCCUUUGUACACACCGCCCGUCGCUCCUACCGAUUGGGUGUGCUGGUGAAGUGUUCGGAUUGGCGGCAGUGGGCGGUUCGCCGCUUGCUGCAGCCGAGAAGUUCUCUAAACCCUCCCACCUAGAGGAAGGAGAAGUCGUAACAAGGUUUCCGUAGGUGAACCUGCGGAAGGAUCAUUG
rnacentral:rRNA from 1 species